AACGCUAGCUACAGGCUUAACACAUGCAAGUCGAGGGGCAGCAUUAUCGAAGCUUGCUUUGAUAGAUGGCGACCGGCGCACGGGUGAGUAACGCGUAUCCAACCUUCCCCAUAGUCAGGAAUAGCCCGGCGAAAGUCGAAUUAAUGCCUGAUGUUUUCCACGGACGGCAUCUGAUGUGGAACAAAGAUUCAUCGCUAUGGGAUGGGGAUGCGUCUGAUUAGCUUGUUGGCGGGGUAACGGCCCACCAAGGCAACGAUCAGUAGGGGUUCUGAGAGGAAGGUCCCCCACAUUGGAACUGAGACACGGUCCAAACUCCUACGGGAGGCAGCAGUGAGGAAUAUUGGUCAAUGGGCGAGAGCCUGAACCAGCCAAGUAGCGUGCAGGAUGACGGCCCUAUGGGUUGUAAACUGCUUUUAUAAGGGAAUAAAGUGGGUCUCGUGAGACUUUUUGCAUGUACCUUAUGAAUAAGGACCGGCUAAUUCCGUGCCAGCAGCCGCGGUAAUACGGAAGGUCCGGGCGUUAUCCGGAUUUAUUGGGUUUAAAGGGAGCGUAGGCCGGAGAUUAAGCGUGUUGUGAAAUGUAGUGGCUCAACCUCUGCACUGCAGCGCGAACUGGUCUUCUUGAGUACGCACAACGUGGGCGGAAUUCGUGGUGUAGCGGUGAAAUGCUUAGAUAUCACGAAGAACUCCGAUUG
rnacentral:rRNA from 1 species